GGGUUCUACCGUUGGUCGGGCUAUAGUCUGUACUGGCGUGUGGAAUUUCUACCUUCUGGGGAACUAUCAUGUUAUUAAUUUAGCGUGGUAGGAAACCAGAACCUUUACCUUGAAAAAAUUAGAGUGUUCAAAGCAGGCCUAUGCUCGAAUACAUUAGCAUGGAAUAAUAGAAUAGGACGG
rnacentral:rRNA from 1 species